UGAGUAACCUGCCCUUAACUCUGGGAUAAGCCUGGGAAACUGGGUCUAAUACCGGAUAUGACUCCUCAUCGCAUGGUGGGGGGUGGAAAGCUUUUUUGUGGUUUUGGAUGGACUCGCGGCCUAUCAGCUUGUUGGUGAGGUAAUGGCUCACCAAGGCGACGACGGGUAGCCGGCCUGAGAGGGUGACCGGCCANACUGGGACUGAGACACGGCCCAGACCUCCUACGGGAGGCAG
rnacentral:rRNA from 1 species